rnacentral:ncRNA from 1 species
GUCAAGGGGUGCUCACGGUUGUGGGCUGAGAUGAUACCCUCGAACCUGAUACGGAUAAUGCCGGCGUAGGGAUGACA